UUCAGAAAUAUACCCUCAAGUAUAUUCAAACUUUUUCCCUCUUUUCUUGUGAAUGCAUGGAUGGAGUUUCCACAACUUUUUAUAGAUAACAUAGAAUUCCACAUAAGACUUGAUUUAAUAAAAUCAGUGUUUCUUGAAUGAAUGUUGAAAGUAGGGAGCAAGGUGGGAGAGCAGCUGACGGCUGUUGGUGCUGGGGCCAGAGCUCAGCUGUUAUGCAUCAUGCCACUUAUGUUGGAGCCUAUUUAUACCCACACUCAGGCCCUAGAAGGUCCCUUACUAGGGACUAUGCUGAAGGGUGGGUGAAGGUGCUUUUCUCUGGCUGCAGAUGUGUCCUAAAAGGUCUGGAGAUCACCUUCCUUAGGGAUUUGUGAAGACUACACAGAGGUGAAAUUACAUUAGUAGCAAUAAAAUAAAAUCCUGCACGGCUUACUCAGAAGUACUGCUGGAUACGAGACCCAAUCCUGUCCUGACUGCAGCCAUGCUGGUGAGAACCUGCUAAAAGUGAGAGAAUCUGAUGGGAGUUUUUCUGGCUGGAUCCUUUCUGUGCUGGUUGAUGCUUCCUGCCUUGCUACACCAGAUCUGUCCCAGAGAUGUGGCAGGAUGCUGCAGCUCAUACCUAGCCUGCUCCAGCCCCACAUGCUUCUCCUCCUCAGCUGCUGGACCCAUGAGAUUUUUUUUGUUUGUUUUGGUGGUUGUGGUCUGAGGAAAUAAUCCAGCUGCGUUAUGAACUCCUUACUGGCUAUUUUUCAGCCAAUGCAGCAUAAAAAGAACAAAAGAGGUGGGAGCACCUAGCUGUGCUGCUGUUUAGGGCUGAUACUAAAUGUUACCAAGCUAAACUGGGAGGCUUUGGCUCAGUGAACAAGAAAACCCAUCUAAAGUCUUGUUGCCACCCAAGGGAGAAGGCUUUAGUCUUCUCCCAUCUUUACUCUGUAGCUUCACCCUGAGAGAAAACACCAGGUCUCCUGACUGCAUCUUUGUCCUCUUCUGUGUUUAUACAGUCCUGAGCGUACUGACUGCACAAAAUAGCAGAGGAAAUGCAGGUGAUAGACUGCUCACUGCUUAUUGUAGGUGGCUGUGCCAUUUCUGAGACCUGAUGUGCCACGCCACAUGCAGUUCCCUUCUUUGCCUCAUUUUGAGGGAAAGCCCUGCAAGUUGAUGAUGCCUGAUCAAGUCUUUCAACCCUCGGGCAGUGACAACUUUAUACUUUGACACAGCUGUAAGGAUGAUAAAUAUACGUGCAUUUCUUAAGAUUA